rnacentral:rRNA from 1 species
AUUGAACGCUGGCGGCAGGCUUAACACAUGCAAGUCGAGCGGAGAUGAGGUGCUUGCACCUUAUCUUAGCGGCGGACGGGUGAGUAAUGCUUAGGAAUCUGCCUAUUAGUGGGGGACAACAUUCCGAAAGGAAUGCUAAUACCGCAUACGUCCUACGGGAGAAAGCAGGGGAUCUUCGGACCUUGCGCUAAUAGAUGAGCCUAAGUCGGAUUAGCUAGUUGGUGGGGUAAAGGCCUACCAAGGCGACGAUCUGUAGCGGGUCUGAGAGGAUGAUCCGCCACACUGGGACGGAGACACGGCCCAGAUUCCUACGGGAGGCAGCAGUGGGGAAUAUUGGACAAUGGGGGAAACCCUGAUCCAGCCAUGCCGCGUGUGUGAAGAAGGCCUUAUGGUUGUAAAGCACUUUAAGCGAGGAGGAGGCUACUGAGACUAAUACUCUUGGAUAGUGGACGUUACUCGCAGAAUAAGCACCGGCUAACUCUGUGCCAGCAGCCGCCGUAA